rnacentral:rRNA from 1 species
AACGAACGCUGGCGGCGUGCCUAACACAUGCAAGUCGAACGGAUUCAUUUGGAAGUAGCAAUACGGAAGGAUGAGUUAGUGGCGGACGGGUGAGUAACACGUAGGUAACCAACCCUCAAGCGGGGGACAACCCAGGGAAACCGGGGCUAAUACCGCAUAAGACCACGGUCUGGAAUGGCUGAGGUAAAAGUAGCAAUACACUUGAGGAUGGGCCUGCGGCCUAUCAGGUAGUUGGCGGGGUAAAGGCCCACCAAGCCUAAGACGGGUAGCCGGACUGAGAGGACGACCAGCCACACUGGGACUGAGACACGGCCCAGACUCCUACGGGAGGCAGCAGUGGGGAAUUUUGGACAAUGGGCGCAAGCCUGAUCCAGCCAUGCCGCGUGUGUGAAGAAGGCCUUCGGGUUGUAAAGCACUUUCGGACGGAACGAAAUCGCGCGGGCGAACAUCCCGCGUGGAUGACGGUACCGUAAGAAGAAGCACCGGCUAACUACGUGCCAGCCGCCGCCGUAAUAC